GACGAACGCUGGCGGCGUGCUUAACACAUGCAAGUCGAACGGAAAGGCCCCUUUGGGGGUACUCGAGUGGCGAACGGGUGAGUAACACGUGAGUAACCUGCCCUUGACUUCGGGAUAACUUCAGGAAACUGGGGCUAAUACCGGAUAGGAAUCCUUGCUGCAUGGUGGGGGUUGGAAAGCUUCGGCGGUUUUGGAUGGACUCGCGGCUUAUCAGCUUGUUGGUGGGGUAGUGGCUUACCAAGGCUUUGACGGGUAGCCGGCCUGAGAGGGCGACCGGCCACAUUGGGACUGAGAUACGGCCCAGACUCCUACGGGAGGCAGCAGUGGGGAAUAUUGCACAAUGGGCGGGAGCCUGAUGCAGCAACGCCGCGUGCGGGAUGACGGCCUUCGGGUUGUAAACCGCUUUCAGCAGGGGCGGAGCUUGUGGUGACGGUACCUGCAGAAGAAGCACCGGCUAACUACGUG
rnacentral:rRNA from 1 species